rnacentral:rRNA from 1 species
CCUACGGGUGGGCAGCAGUGGGGAAUAUUGGACAAUGGGGGCAACCCUGAUCCAGCCAUGCCGCGGGUGUGAAGAAGGCCCUCGGGUUGUAAAGCACUUUCAGUGAGGAAGAACGCCUGGUGGUUAAUACCCAUCAGGAAAGACAUCACUCACAGAAGAAGCACCGGCUAACUCCGUGCCAGCAGCCGCGGUAAUACGGAGGGUGCGAGCGUUAAUCGGAAUUACUGGGCGUAAAGCGCGCGUAGGUGGCUUGAUAAGCCGGUUGUGAAAGCCCCGGGCUCAACCUGGGAACGGCAUCCGGAACUGUCAAGCUAGAGUGCAGGAGAGGAAGGUAGAAUUCCCGGUGUAGCGGUGAAAUGCGUAGAGAUCGGGAGGAAUACCAGUGGCGAAGGCGGCCUUCUGGACUGACACUGACGCUGAGGUGCGAAAGCGUGGGUAGCAAACAGGAUUAGAUACCCGAGUAGUC